rnacentral:miRNA from 1 species
GACGUCGAAUAUCGACGUCAUAAACACCAAAGUUGUUCGUGUUUAUGGCGUCGAAUAUCGACGUCAUAAACACCAAAGUUGAUCGUGUUUAUGACGUCGAAUAUCGACGUCAUAAACACCAAAGUUGUUCGUGUUUAUGACGUCGAAUAUCGACGUC